rnacentral:tRNA from 1 species
GCCCCGGAUGGCGCACAAAUGGCGCAUGACGAGCUAGAGACCGCUUAAAAUAAGGCUUUCACACCUGAUUUGUAAUCAGGGGGUCCCGGGUUCGAACCCUGGCGGGGGCACCA